AUUUAUAUAGUUUAAAAAAAAUAUUUUUUUUUCGCUGAAAAAAUAAUAUAUUUUUUUUUAUAAAUA
rnacentral:tRNA from 1 species